rnacentral:lncRNA from 1 species
UUUGACUUGUACCUUUGUCGGAGUUCUCGGACACUUUGAUGUACGAAAUGCAAAGAGCUUCAUCUUCUUUUGUUGUCCAAUUAGCUCCUUUGAUAGACAUUUUUUUUGGCUAACAAGAAAAGAAAAUAGAAGAAGUAUGUGAGAUGAAUUGCUAAAGAAAGAUAGAAGAUGUGAGUUAUGGAGGAUUGAGGGUUGUAUUUAUAGGAAAAUUGAUAGAAUAAAAAAAAUAAAAACUAGCCCUUUUUUCUAUUUAAGGAGGAACUAGCCGUUUUUUUUUUUACUUAAUUAACAACUAGCCGUUAGGGAAAAUAAUUACACAGCUAUAAGCAUUCAAAUGAUCAAAUCAUUGUGAGGAAAAGAACUAGCCGUUAGGGAAAAUGUGAAGCAUACCUAGAACCAAUUAAAAGCCACCAUUUGUCAAAAUCAGCCACCCAUUUGCAUCAAAUUUGUUUUUUUAUUCUGAUGAGGUCCCACAAAUUGGGUUGGACUGGGCUAGCCAAAGGGCUAACUUUGGCCCUUUUCAUGGCCCUUUGGCCCUUUUUUGGUCCUUUGGCCCUCUCUUUUUCCAUUGUUGGAGACCAUGAUAGGGCCAAAAUAUAGGAAAUGGCCCUUUGGACUCUAUUGCUGGAGAAGGCCUUAGGGCUAAAGCUCGGCCCGACUCUUUCAAUUGUUGGUAUAGCGUUGACCAAAAGUAAAUAGCAUAUACUUUCCAAACUCUUCUUUUUGGGAAGCAAGGCGAGGGUCUUCACCUUCAUGGGCAUGGGCAAGUCUCUUGGAAGGUAGAGCUCUGAUCCCGAAUGGGUCGAUUUGGAGCAUCGGUAUGGUGUUUUUUUAUUUUAUUUUCUUUAGACUCGUUUCAUGUUUGAUUUUAUAUGCGAUGACUAAUUAACUAGGUGAUGAUAAUGUACAAUGACAUAAUAUUGUUUAUUUUUAUGGAAAAAUAGUUCAAAAGUUUUGAAGUUUUAGGGGGGUGUAUUGUAUUUGGAUUCGUACAGACUUAUUUUAAUCAAUUGACUUUUUGAAAAGUCUAUAGACUCUUUGAAAAGUUCAUAGACUUUCACUGAUUUCUUAAAACCAUCGAUUUUUAAUCACAGACUUUAACUGAUUUUUGAAAUCUACAGAUUUCAUAUGAAUGACUUAUGUAGAUUUCUUAAUACUUACAGAGUUACAUAAAAGGAAAAAAAAAAUAAAGAUGCAAUGACAAACACAUAAUGACACCGAUUAUAAGUUUAGUGCUCAUCUAUCUAAUUUCGAUGCAUACCGUUGUAAUAUUUGAUUGA